rnacentral:rRNA from 1 species
AAGCGCCAGGAGGCCAAGGCGGCCAAGCGCUGAGGCGGCGG